CCUCAAGCCAGGCACAUGACCACCGUUAGGGUUAACAUGAGUAAGAUGGGGCUGUAUAACAAAUUCGCGAAUGAAACCAAACUUUUGGUGGAUUUCAAGCAGCACCUUUUACACGCCCUGAAUGUCCCGAACUGCCCACAGGAGGUUGACAAUGUGUCCAGAAUGCUGCGGUUCAUACAGCCCGUGGGAGAUUAAAUCAGCUUGGACUUCCUCACCAAGAGCACAGAGACUAAAGAGUUCCUGUACCAAUUAAAGAAGGCCAAGAUGGAACCUGCCACCGUUCUAAACUACAUAAAGAACAUGAUCCGGUUCGUGAGCUACCUGAGGACACACCUGAACUUCGCAAGUAAAGAUAAAGACUAUGACAGGAAAUGCAAUGCCUACAUUGAUCUGCUCAGUACACUGAGGAAGCCAGUGGCUAAGCAACACAGCACCAGAGCUGUGGACAAAAGGUAUGGCAUCUAUGUUACGGGCCAGUGAAGCCUGCAUGAGUGUCAGAAGGUCCUUCGGGUGGCACAUAAAAACAUGCUUUGCACCUUCGGCAAACUGAUGGAGACCCCCCCCCCCCUCAACUCAGCAGUGAAGAGAAGACGGUGUACCGGUCUUACUGCGAGGGCAUCAUCCUAUUGAAGCACUACCAGAGACCGGGUGUUGUGAACAACAUGCAAGUCAGAGAGUGGCUGGAGCGACGUCACAUAAAUGGCAACUUCUCUAUUGGUGUGCGUGAGCACAAGACAGCAACGCAACAGGUUGCCACAUUCUGCU